UCUGCAACAACAGUUUAAAUAUUUUAAUCUAAAUAAAAAAAAAACAGCUGUAUUUUUUGAUGAAUGUGUGUCUAUAUCCAAACAAUACCUACAUUAAGCGGAAAAAAUUGAUAAGUUAACACUGUUGCCCGGUUGAAUUUUUUAUAAUUGGCUGCUACUACUAAUAGCUUUUCAUGUAGUAUCUACUGCUUAUGGGGCUCUUCAAAUUACUUUAAGCCAAGAGGAAUUUAAAAAAAUUGCAGUUCUCCAAGUAAAUUUUUAGUUAUUUUAAAAGCAUUUUGAAUCCAAUAUAUAAAUCACAUGAAGACAGCAAAAAUAAUCGCCAAGUUAUUGUUGAAAUGCCUUGAUAUGGAUGCAUCAAUAGCCGAAACGUCAGUUCCUCUGGAAAAAGUAAAGAAAUGUUUGUUUUCUAUUGUAUUUUCUACAUAUCCCGUCCAUUACUACACAUUUGGUCUUCCGUCGAAGAUUUAAGUCAUUCUGGAGCUAAACGUCUAAACUAAAAACAAUGUCAAAAAUUUGUAAAACAAAUUU